GUGGUUGUGAGAAGUUGUAGUAUCCUGGGAUGAAAGGAUGAGAGGUGACGUGGAAUUGAGCCAGUGGGUCAGUCUCUGGGUUCAGCAAUCACACAUCCCAUUUCCUCUGGGAUUGUGUUAGUGUCCCUUCCUGCUAGUGUACCAUGUCUCCAGUAUAUAAUGAAAUGUGACACUUGCCUUUGAUGGCAUUGAUAAACUUUCAUAGAACUGAAACAAAUAAAUGCUUUGACAAUUUUCCUCAUAAUUCUGUAGCCAUAUAUAAAUGGUGGUUAUUCAUAUAUUUAUAAAAGUUUGUCAUAGACCUCUUAAGCUCAGAAUACAUUCACACUCAAAACGUUGGGGGACAACUACAUUUCUCAUUGUUUCUUCUGUAGCUGUGUGUACUUCUAAAGCAGAUAAGCUUCAAG
rnacentral:lncRNA from 1 species